GCCCUUGUGGAUCAAUGGUAGAUCACCUUCUUUGAAUGAAAUCACAGCCGAACUGUCUAUAUUAUGAAGGUAGUGGGGGUUCGAUUCCCGCCGAGGGCA